GGGCAUAAGCCACUGCAAAUCAAACCUACUGGUUUUCAAGCCCCAGGAACAGCAGGACCCCAUGAAAUCUGCAUACCUUAAAACGGGUGCUGUUUUGAAACUAUUUGCACUGCUUACAGGAGUUGCAUAACUGUGGUAGUGUCCAGAAAUCAGGGAACAAAGUAACUGAAUAGUGAAAUGUUAAAGGCAAGCUUUUAGAAGUUAUGAAUUUAUUUGGUAUGCAGUCAUUCCAGAAGGCUGUAUAUGUAGAGGUAAACUCCAAUGUCAGUGGCAGGUGAAGGCUGAUAGUUUCUGAAUGGCAUGAUUUCAGUAACUAUCUCUGUAGUUUCUGUAAUCCUGUUAAAAAAAGUAAUUCCUGUGCUUUAUGAUACUUUAAACACAGUAGGCCGUGAGUCUGUAGAAAUCACUGUGAAAGCCCUUGAAGUCUUCAGUCAGUUUAUCAACAAUAUUAUUUGAAUCACAGUCACUCUACAGCUUACCUUUUCCUGUUUCUAAAAAUAUAAAGAGAAAUUUAAGAUGUUGGUUUUAUUUUAGGACUUUUUUUAAAAUGAUAGAUGGAGAUUUGAUUUAUUAGAGGUUUAACUGAAAUGCAUCUGAAAAAGAGCCAACAGGGUUAAAGAUCAAAGUUAUUAAAAAUGGUGCUAAUUGAAAUAGCUUCAGAACUUCCUACAUUGAUUAAGCAGCAAAUUUUCCCCCUGAAAAGACAAAGUAUUGAGGCUUACCUGAAGUUUUAAGUAAAGGUAGCGGAGGAAGAUAACAGAACCAAUUCAAGUGCUAUGCCAUGCAUAUUUUCCAGAUGUCCUUUGCACUUGAAUGUAAAUCAUGACACCUUAGAACACAAUAAAACUUCACCUAUAGAAUCAAAACUGUUUUAAAGAAGUAAUAUUUUAUUGACUUGUCUGAAGUUUGCCAGGUUACAAAAUGGAAAAAAAAAACCUAAUGUAGCAAAAAGUUAUGCAUUAGCAGUAGGAAAAACCUUCCUCCUAAAAGCCUACUAUAGUUCUAGUGGAGGAGGGAGUUUGUGUAACGA